UAUGGCUCAAUGGUAGAGCACUUGCCUAGUAUGUAUGAGGCCCUGAGUUCGAUUCUCAGUA
rnacentral:tRNA from 1 species